GUCUUGUUGUUGGUGCUCUAUGUGUAAAGGUGCCAGGAUGAGUGUCCAGUUGGUACUUUUGGUGCUGGCUGUGCAAAGACCUGUCACUGUAUGAACAACAGUAAGUGCGUUCAUAUCAACGGAACAUGCCUGUGUGAUGCGGGCUACACAGGAGAAAAAUGUGAUAUCCGCUUAUGCCCUGACGACCGUUACGGUUUAAGAUGCGAAAAGAAUUGUCCAUGCCACGCCCCAAGAACUCUAAGAUGCCACCCAGUGUCAGGGGAGUGUACAUGUCAGGCUGGUUGGUCAGGACUUUUUUGCAAUGAGACGUGCACACCAGGAUUUUUUGGCAAAUCUUGCACUGACUUGUGUCAGUGCCAGAAUGGAGCUGACUGCCACAAUGUGACUGGAGAAUGUAUCUGUGCUCCUGGCUUUAUGGUAAAUUAAUUUGUUGCAUGCACAUGUAUUCAUUUAAGUGCAUCCUGAAUUAUAUGUAUGUACAUGGAUACAUA